AACCACCCAAAACCCAAGUCAGUUGAAGAUCAACACAAACCAAAUAAAGAUGCGCAUUCUACAAACAAUAACAAAAGAUCAAGUUUUGUGUCCAACACACUUGGAUGAGACGUGCCCGACCCCUGACUUUGUCUACCCUACAUUAAGUUGCACACUUCAUGACAGUAAACAUCGGUAUCACAUUGGUGUGAUUGAUCUAUACCCUGGCCUAGAAUAAGCUGUGACACUAUGAGACGGUCACAUAAUGAACAGACAUCUUUACAGACAACCGAAAGAGGCAGAGUAUUGUUUUCUUGUGUAUUGUCAUACACCUAAAGAGGAUUUUUUUAAUCAUACAAUUAUGGUGUUAUUCAUUCAUUAAUGUGUCCUUUCUUACCUUAAAUAACUUAUAAUUUUUCACUACUUUUGUUUGUAAUGUCUAUAUAGUAUUCUCUACAAUCCCAAAUUCUGGAUUGACGCCCCAGUACCAGAGGGCACCCCAAUCCCAGAGAGCAUCAAUCUGAAAGCAGGUGAGGUAACACAACGAAAAAAUAACAGGAUGGAGACUACCUGAUUCUUCACCUAUGGCCUCAGCUUCAAAUGCAAGAAGCAAGAAAUGCUAUAUGACUGUGUAUUUUGCAUUAUGAAUGCAUUAUGGAUACAUCAAAGAUGUUGAUAACAAGUUGAUCUGCGUAAAUUGUGACAUAAAGAAUAUGUAUAUAUAUUUCCAUCUAUCUUUCUAUAACAUUAUU